AAUCAACGCUGGCGGCGUGCCUCAGACAUGCAAGUCGAACGAGAACCUCCCUUCGGGGAGGGGACAGUGGCGCACGGGUGAGUAACACGUGAGUAAUUUACCUUUGGGUGGGGAACAACAGCCGGAAACGGCUGCUAAUACCGCAUAACGCAGCGGCUCGACAUCGAGACAGUUGUUAAAGCGGGGGAGUCGCAAGACCUCGCGCCUGAAGAGAAGCCUGCGGCGGAUUAGCAGUUGGUAGGGUAAUGGCCUACCAAGGCGACGAUCUGUAACCGGCCUGAGGAGGGCGGUCGGUCACACUGACACUGACAUACGGGUCAGACUCCUAC
rnacentral:rRNA from 1 species